CAUGUGCCCCAUGCAGAGCAGAGGCAGAUGUGUGCUCGUGUUAAUCUAACCUUCACCUGCAUCUUCGUCAGGAAAGGGUAGGAAGAAACAGACACUGAGCACUGUGGAGAAGUCCAGAGAGGAUUGGGAGCCGCUGGUCAUAUCCACAGUCAAGAACAGAGAGAGAGUGAACAUGGCUGCCCGUGCAGGACCCCGGACUUAGGGGAUGGUACCGCCCACGGUAGGAUAGAUUUCUCUUAUGGCAAUGAUCAAUCAAGCCAAACCCUCACUGAGCCUCUUCCCUGAUGAUUCUAGCUUGUUUUGACAACUAAAACUUUUAUGCUUGGUG
ensembl:lincRNA Gm26812 predicted gene, 26812